GGUGAGUAAUGCCUAGGAAUCUGCCUGGUAGUGGGGGACAACGUUUCGAAAGGAACGCUAAUACCGCAUACGUCCUAAGGGAGAAAGCAGGGAACCUUCGGGCCUUGCGCUACCAGAUGAGCCUAGGUCGGAUUAGCUUGUUGGUGAGGUAAUGGCUCACCAAGGCGACGAUCCGUAACUGGUCUGAGAGGAUGAUCAGUCACACUGGAACUGAGACACGGUCCAGACUCCUACGGGAGGCAGCAGUGGGGAAUAUUGGACAAUGGGCGAAAGCCUGAUCCAGCCAUGCCGCGUGUGUGAAGAAGGUCUUCGGAUUGUAAAGCACUUUAAGUUGGGAGGAAGGGUUGUAGAUUAAUACUCUGCAAUUUUGACGUUACCGACAGAAUAAGCACCGGCUAACUCUGUGCCAGCAGCCGCGGUAAUACAGAGGGUGCAAGCGUUAAUCGGAAUUACUGGGCGUAAAGCGCGCGUAGGUGGUUUGUUAAGUUGGAUGUGAAAGCCCCGGGCUCAACCUGGGAACUGCAUCCAAAACUGGCAAGCUAGAGUACGGUAGAGGGUGGUGGAAUUUCCUGUGUAGCGGUGAAAUGCGUAGAUAUAGGAAGGAACACCAGUGGCGAAGGCGACCACCUGGACUGAUACUGACACUGAGGUGCGAAAGCGUGGGGAGCAAACAGGAUUAGAUACCCUGGUAGUCCACGCCGUAAACGAUGUCAACUAGCCGUUGGAAUCCUUGAGAUUUUAGUGGCGCAGCUNACGCAUUAAGUUGACCGCCUGGGGAGUACGGCCGCAAGGUUAAAACUCAAAUGAAUUGACGGGGGCCCGCACAAGCGGUGG
rnacentral:rRNA from 1 species